rnacentral:misc_RNA from 1 species
CCUCAUUUCAUUGGUGUGAGAUCCAUAGAUUCCUUUGGAAUCCUAACGAUUAUAGCGCGAAUCGGAUUCAAUGACGCAAUCCAGAUUACGAUUACAAAGGAACAUUGUUUGAAUGUAGAUUCUUUCAAGGGAAAGAAAGGGUCAAUUGAUAUCGAUCGUUUUACUCACUCUUCCAAAUCGACUAGGGGAGGAUAAUAACAUUGCAUUUCAAAUGGAGAAAUAAUAUAAUGAUUCCCAGUCAUAUUCGAUUGGGAUAGAGAUAGAGAUGGCGAGAGAAGGGGAGUAGGGGAGGAUAUUUCUACCACCCAAUAUUGAGCAAAUAUCCAAUGAAUAAUGCUGAUGGAUAUUACAUAAUAGGAUUAGAACAAGGUAUGAUCUUGUUCUUCGAGAA